GCAAGUAAGCUUAUUUUACACGCGAGGAAACUGAGGUUCAGAGAGGGGAAGGAAGUUUAUAGUGUUGGUGGAGCUGAGAUUCAAACCCACGCCUACCUUUUUCUUGCUUUCUACUCUUAUCUGCUAAGGAGUGUCGACUCCCAUAGUCUAAUAGGAGUCCCCCUUCUGUUGUAUCUCGGACCCAAGGAAGCUUUUGUAAAACUCAAAUCCAGCCCAAAUGAAAGCUAGAGGGGCAGGGGGCGGGGAGGGGGUCGUGGUGUACAGUGACUGAGGCGUACAUGAACCCUCUGAGAAACCUUCAGCAGUCCCUGUGUGGAUGACAGGAGCUUGCUGGAGCGUGCGCAGAUGCACCCCAGACCCACCCAAUCAGCUUCCACAGAAAGUUGGGAAAGUGUUGGCUUAGCUCAUCUCCAAAGUGGUUAGCCCAGGCAGCCCUGAGGGUAUCUGCAGCCCUAUACAGUCACAGAGCAAGGCCUGACCUGGAGUAAAGAGCUCUACAAAUAUUUGCUCUAUGAGUGAGGGAGUUGGCAAGCUCUCCUGCUCCAGCAAAGCAAAUAGACGCUCAAGAGACUGAGCUAGGGCUUCUGCGGGGUGGCUCGGACCACCACCACUUUGCGUGCUCUCUGUGACGCACUUUCAGAAAACAUGAAAGCAAUAGAACUGUAAAGGACCCUUCAUCUACCGUUCAUGGGUUGUCAUGGGUCUAUAGGCUGCGGAGAGCUAGCUCCUUAGUACGGUUUUGGGUUUUGGUGUAUGUGUGGGCAUGCGUGGCUAUGUUCAUCCUGGUGUGGUGGAUUCCUGAGAGAGACCUGCGAAUGUCUUCAUAUUUCCCUUCUUUGGGAGGAGGUGUGGCCCGUGGAGGUCAGAGGACAAUGGCAGUCUAUUCACUCCUUCUGCCAGGUUAUCCCUGGGAUUCGAAGCACGUUGUCAGAAUAGGUGGCAAGCGUCUUUAUCCAUGGAGCCGUCUUACCAGCCUUCCACCUUAGUUUUUGCGAUAUAAUCUCUCACUGAACCUGAGUGUUUAGUUGAGCCUCUGAGAUCCACUUGUCUCAAACCCCGAACCCCGGCAUUAUAGACAUGUACCAACACAGAUUUCUACAUGAGUGUUGGGAAUCAAACAUCAGGAGUCAAAUCAUCCCUGAGCUGGCAGUGGUGGCACACGCCUUUAACCCCAGCACUUGGGAGGCAGAGGCAGGUGGAUCUCUGUGAGUUCAAGGCCUGUCUAGUUCACAGAGUGAGUUCUAGGAUAGGCAGAGCUACACGGAAAAACCCUGUCUCAAAAAAUACCAAAGUAAGUAAGUAAAUAAAUAGCCAAAUCAUGUUUCCGGCAGGAAAAUGCAAAUUUCUCUCUCUGUCUCUAUACCUGAUGGUAGCCGUGUUUAGAUCUCUUGGAGAUUUCUUAUUUUAUUCUGUUUAUCUGGCAGGCAUGGGUGUGGAAAUCAGAGGUCAGUAUGAGGGGGAUCAGUUCUCAGUGCAACGUUGGUCCCUGGGAUUGAAGGGUCUUCCCCAUCAGUACCUCACUGCUGAGCCACCUCGCUGUCUCUGAAUAAGUUGUUUGUGGUACUGCUUCUUGUUUGUUUGUUUGUUGCUGAUCUUAGAAACUGUGCUCUGAAAAGGAUGAAGCCUUGGUGUCUUAGACCAUGAUGGUUUGAGUAAGACGUCCCCUGUUGUCUCAGAUAUUUGAAAAUUUGAUUCCCAACUUGGAGUCUUAGAAGGUGUAGCCUUGCUGCAGGAUGCACCUGAGGUGAGUUUUAGCCUGGGGCCAUUCCCAAUGCCCGUUUUCUGUUUCUGCUUGAGGUUGAAGAUGUGAGACCUCAAACUUCCUGCCUCUGUCACCAUACCUUAGCUCUGCCAUUAUGGGGCCUAACCAAAUCAACUCUUCUAUAAGUUGCCAUGGUCAUGUGCUUUAUCACAGCAAGAGAAAAACAAUACAUGCACCACUGAAGUUCAGCCCUGCCUGUUUUCCAUGAUAGCCAUCAGGUGGCUUGGGCUAGACCAGUACCAGUUGACCUAUGACUUGGCAAACACCUCACGACUGACUGACCCAUAGGGUAACUUAGAUGUAAGUAGAGGUCAGGAGUUCAAGGUCAUCCUUGGUUAUAUAAGUUCCAGGGUAGCCUGUGCUGAAUGAGAACCUUUCUCAAAAGAAAAGGUUAAUUCCAACUCAUCUCCCCAUCCCAUUAGAAUGUUCUUUUUCUGUAUAACCGUCAUAGUGACAAGGCUUUGUGUGAAGAUCUUUUCUUCCUGUACACGGAGUACCUGGUAUGUUCUCUCAAAUAAGGAAAAUAUAAUUUUAAAAAUUGGUUUAUUGUUCUAGUCCUUCCACUUCAUAACAUUUUUUAAAGAUAUUUGUUUGUUUUAUGUAUAUGAGUACAUUGUCACUGUGUUCAGACACAGCAGAAGAGGCAUCAGAUUACAGAUGACUGUGAGCCACCAUGUGGUUGCUAGGAUUUGAAUUCAGGACCUCUGGAAGAGCAGCCAGUGCUCUUAACCACUUAGACAUCUCUCCAGUCUGUCUUUCCAUUUAAAAAAUAAAAAUAAAAAACCUCCUCUUAUACUUUAUCCUCAUUAUGUGUGGUCUGCUGUUUACACUUUUUUUAAAGUUUACUUAUUGAUGUGUGUGUGCAUGUGUGUGGGAGGGUGGGUGGGUAUAUGUGCAUGUGUGUGUGAAUGAAGAGGCCUAGUGUGUCCUCUGUCACUUUCCCUAUUUCUUUGAGGCAGGGUCUCUCCCCGAAUCUAGGGGCUUGCAUUUUCUCAGCUAGGCUAGAAGCCAGUGGCCCUCCUGCCUCCAUGCCCUCCUGACCUGGGUUACAGGUAUGUGUGCAGGGGCAUUGCCAGCUUGUUACAUGGUAGCCCUGGAAUCCAAACUCCCAGUCCUCUUCACUGCUCAGCAAGAGCACUGAGCCAUCCCUCCAGCCCUAAUUUGCAUGGCUGCUUUGGUGGUUUGAAUAUGCAUGACCUGGGUAGCAGCACUAUUAUGAGGCGUGGCCUUGUUGGAGGAAGUGUGUAAUGUGGGGUGUGGGCUUUGAGACCCUUCCUGGAAGACACUCUGCUCCUUGGCUUCCUUUGAAUGAAGAUAUAGAACUCUCAGCUCCUCCUGCACCAGGCCUGCCUGGACGCUGCCAUGCUCCUGCCUUGAUGAUAAAGGACUGAACCUCUGAACCUGUAAGCCAGCCCCAAUUAAAUGUCCUUAUAAGAGUUGCCUUAGUCAUGGUUUCUGUUCAUGGCAGUAGAGCUAUAACUAAGACAGAUGCUGUGUCAGUUUUGCAGGAUUUCCAGUGUUUCCUCACCCCUGCACUGGACGGUGAACAUGCUUCUGGGUCUGGCUAACAGGACGAGGCACAGUAGUUGAUCUCCCCGUUAUCUAUCCAGCUGGCUAAAGAGCAUAGAUUUAUGUUAUUUGCGAACAUUCUGAGGGCACCUCCCCUCAGAGCUCUGCUGCUUCACGUUGUCAUCGGUGGCGCGUGCCAUUUGUGUGCAAGCAAGGAGGACCGUGCGAAUUCAAAGUGCUGAGGAUCGCCUGAAAUGAUAUGCCAUGUGAGGGACUGAAUUCAGAUUCCCCAGAACCCAUGACAAGCCAGACUCGGUAGGGUGUGUCUGUGACGUUGACACUCCUGCAGUGGGACAAGAGGAGGAGGCUCUCCAGAAACUCUCAGGCUGGCUCGCCCGUAGUAUAUGUAGCUUCAAACAACAAAGAAACCUGCCUCAAACAAACUGAAUACAAGGUGGUAACCUGUGCACACGCACACUCAGGAACAUGCUGACAUACAUCACACGCUGUAACACCUCUCCCUUCCUCUUUCUGCCCAUGCAUGCUUUUGAUUGUGCCCCCCCUGCCGUGUGUGUGUGUGUGUGUGCGUGUGUGUGUGUGUGUGUGUGUGUGUGUGUGCGCGCGCGCGCGCGCGCGCACAGUGGCUAGAAGAGGGCAUUGGGUCCCUUGGGUCUGGUGUUUCACAUACCUGUGAACCACCUGACAUGGGUACCGAAUUCCAGUCCCGAACAGUGAGCAUCCUUAACCUCUGAACCAUCUCUCUAGCCCCACAUGCUUUAUCCUAAGAUACUUACUUGUUCACAAGUUAGCAUCUGGAUGGAGAUGCGGCUGUUUUUUUAAUAUCAUGAAGUAUGGUGAUUGUCUGCAGAUGGAGGACCCUGGGUGUGUUUCUGACUCUGCCAUCCCAUUCCUUAAGACAUACCUACUUCCCUUCGUUACAAAAAAUGACUUCUGUUUGAACCUUUAAAAAAUGAAAUAAUUGGCUGCCGGGGUCAGGGCGAGUGCCUGUAGCUCAACCUACUAGCACUCGAGGUUGUGCCAUGGUAACUAUGUCGAAACCAAAUUAUAGGGGUUUCUUUUGCAGUUUUGUUACAAGCUAGUAACAGCCCAGUGCGUGACCUGUGUGAAUGGGAGGAUGCCGCAAUCUUGUAACUAUCACCAGCACUUGAAACAGAAUCAAGGAGAUUGCAACAAUGUCAGUCUCGGUUAAUUGAAUCCUUCCUGGUAUUGGUGCCUUUCAAAUGAAGUGGCAUCCAUGCAAUGGUGUUAAGUCCCCUUUUAUUUACUUAACCGCACGAGAAAAGUUAGCCUCGGCCACACGGAUUGGGUGGACUGAAGGCUGGCAUCUAAAUCACCAUCUUGUCAGCCCUUUGCAAAAGAGGGAGGGGUCAUUUCCCUUUCACAGAGGUCUUUAGAGGAAAAAACUAAAAGAGGCCAGCCAGUGAGGAAAAAGAAGCUUUCAAGAGAUGAACUGUCCACCCCCACCUCCACCCCGCCCCCCCACCUCCGCCAACACACACAGACACACGCAGGUGUGGUGCCCUUCUGCAUCUAAAGUGGGGAGCGUAGUGAAGUGGUAAUUGUUGUAAUGCAGGGGAUUCUACUGCUUGGCUAAUGCCCCAUGCAGGCUGGGGAUUGCCAAUGCCUUGAAAUUAGUGGGACAAUUCCAGCACAAAGAAUCGCUGGGGCCCUACUGUUCUAUGGUGAGCCAUUAUCUGCGUUUUGGGGUACACUGUCCUGGAAUUUCAUGAGUUAUACCCUACUUAUCCAUAAUUUUUAAAAAACAUGAACAACUCUUUCUUACUGUGGCUAUGGUGGAGAGUGGAUUGUCCGCUGAACACAAUCUAAUCACCUAGGAACAAGCCGCUGGCUGUAUCUUCCGAGGGACUUUUUGAUUGGGUUAAUUGUGAUAGGAAAGCUCACCCCAAGUGGACUGGGAUCCUCGACUGAAUUAAAAGGAAAACACAAUUGAAUUUGCUCAUCAUCCUUGUGCAGGGACCAUGCUAAUCUUCGCUGUAUCUGCCCAAUUUUACUCUUUGUGCUCCCGAAGCAAGCACAUACCCUGUUUCUUGCUGACACCGAAUACCUUUUCCCAUAGGUGGUUAUCCCCAUUUGUUUAAAGAUUAUUUCAUUGUUAGUUGUGUGUCACCUAUGUCUGUGAACAGGAUUGCACACAUGGGCCCAGGUGUCCUCACUAGUCAGAGGCAUCAGUUCUCCUGGAGCUGGAGUUCCAGGUAGUUGUGAGCCACCCGCAGUGGGUGCUGGGAACUGAACUCUGGUCCUUGGCAACAGCAGCAGGCGCUCUUAACCACUGAACCAGCUCCCCAACCUUCUGUGUAUAUUUUAAAAAUUAUAUACUUUCAUAAUUUUAUAUGAUGUACUUUGAUCAUAUUUGCUCCCCAACCAACCCCUUUCUUUUUUUCUGUUUCUUUUCUUCAUUCACUUAUUUCUUAUUCCUCCCACCUUUUUUUUUUUUUUGGUCUGAUUUUGUGAGACAGGGUCUCAUCAUGUAGCCCUGGCUACACCGAAACUUACUAUGUAGACCAGGCUAACCUAGAAAUAGAAGAGACCCACCUAUGUGUGUCUGCCUUGGGAGUUUUGAGACUAAAGGAGUGCACCACCAUGUGUGACGCCCUUACUCAAGGCAUUAAAGCAUUUUUAUUAUAUGAAUUUUAAAAAUUCCACCUUUUAAAAUAUCCUUUAUUACAUGAAUGUACAUAAUGCAUAAGUAUUAUAUAUCAUAUUCUCCCUGACCAAUUUGCUUUUGUCUUUUAAAAAAUAUUUAUUUUGUUAUUUUCUGUGGCAGGUGUUUUGCCGGCAUGCCUGUUUGGGCACCACAAGUAUGUCUGCUGCCUGAGGAAGCCAAAAGGGAGCGUUAGGUGCAGUUAGAGUCAGCUGUGAGCUGCCAUGUGGGUACAAGUGCCGUUACCCACUGAACCAACUCUCGGGGCCCCUUAAUGGCCACACCAUACCCCAGAAGCAUACAGACUACAACGGUCACAUGUGUGUUUGUUUUCUUCCUCGAAGACAUCUUAGCAAACAUCCUUUAAGCUAAAUGAAUCUCUCUGGCCUGGUGGUUAUGGCACACGCCUUUAAUCCCAGCAUUUCUCAGGCAGAGGCAAGCAGAUCUCUUGAGCUUGAGGCCAGCCUGGUCUGUAGAGCAAGUUCUAGGACAGCCAGGGUACACAGAGAAACCCUGUCUUGGAAAAAACAAAACAAAACAAAAAAGAAAAAGCAAACAAAAAAAGAAUCUGUCUCUAGAUCAUUUUACUCUUAGCCUAGUUAGAAUUAAUUUUAAAGGAUGAGGGACUGGCAGUGUGUGCCCUUUGUAAGGGGUGCCUGUGUGAGCAUGGGGAAGGGGUUAUUUCCUUGAGCUAGGGCAACUGAGCAUGGGCUACACCAUUAAGGAAAAGGACACCCAACCCCAGCCACUAUUAACUACCUAUGGCUCCUUAAGGAGGGGUGGAGCCUUUUGAGCUGUAGUGGAAUAGUUUUGGGCAUUCGUUAAGCAAGUAGGCACGGCUGCUGUGGGGUUGUAGGAACAACAGCCAUGUCACAUUCAGGACACAGCGUUUCGAAGCUCUCUUCCCUGUCCUGUGGCCCUUCCCCCUCUCCACAGUUUCUUGUGCCUUGGAAACAGUGUUGCUGAUGUCCCACUCAGGGCUGAAGUACAGUAGCAAGUCCAUUUAGCAAAGUAACAAUAGUAGGCUCACCCCCACGGACUAUGUCCACCCUAGGCAUGAUUUUGUGACCAAGUUUAUAGUGCCAGGCACAGAUUCCUGGUUUUAUUGAGAUAUGACUCAUUUGUAAAGUUGACCUUUUGUAAGGUGUACAAUUCAGAGGAUCAUAGAUGAUUAUAGGUUUGGAAAAACUAUCCCCAUUAGCUAAUUAGAACUUUACCUCAUUAAAGAGACUGCACCUGCGAGCAGUCACUCCCCAUUCUCCCCAUUCGUCUGUUUAAGGGGAAAUUGCUAACCUACUUUCCAUCUCUGUGGAUUUGCCUGCUCUGCGUGUUACACGCAAAUGGAGUUCUCCCCAUGUUCCUUACUCCUCGAUGGCUGUCACUUAGCACCAUGCUUCCAAGAAUCAUUCAUGCGGUCCAUGAAACGCUUGUUGCACAAGCAUGAGAGUCUGGGUUCAGAUCGCCAGCACCCACAUAAAAAGCUGGGUGAGGUGGCGUGUACCUGGAACCCAAGAGCUAUCGGGGAGAGACAAGGGGAUCACUAGGCUUACUGACCCAUUGAUGAGCUCCAGGUCUAAUGAGAGAGAGACCCUGUCUCAAAAAAAAACAGGGUGUAACACAGUAGAGGAAGACAUCUGAAGUCAACCUCCGACUUCUCCAUGUAUACAUGGCACACGCAUGCACAACACAUACACACACACACACACACACACACACACACACAGGACUCCAAUUGAAAUCAAAAGAUAUAUUCAUGCUGCAUAGUGUGUAUUUUACUAGUUUUGUAGUCAAGCGCUAUUCCGUCUCCUCGUAUACAAGGUUUUGUUUAUCCAUUCACCAGCUGCCAGAGUUGCUUCUGUAUUUUGACCAUUAUGAAUAAAGCUACUGUGAACCUUACUGGACCAACUUCUUCAAAAGACAUGUUCUUUUUGAUUCUUUUAGCUAAAGGAAUGGAAUCACAUAAGGUGACUCAGCUUAAUGUCUUGAGACUUUAAUAGACUGUUCCCAAAGCAGGCGGAUUACUGGGUAUCCCGUGAAGGACGUGGGAGUUUCAUUUCUCACCAAGAUGUACUUUGAGUCUAGCAACCCUGUUGGGUAUGAAGUGAUUUACCAUUGUGAGUUUGGCUCGCUUUGCCUUGGUGACCAAAAACACUGAACAAUUUUCCUCUGUGUGUGUGUGUGUGUGUGUGUGUGUGUGUGUGUGUGUGUGUGUGUGUGUUUUGAGAAAUGUCUAUUUAAAUCCUUUGCUGUUUGGAAAAAUGAUUUGCUUGUGUGCAUAUGAGUGUGCAUGUGUGGCUGUGCAUGUUGCUGUAGGGAGUGGACAAGUCACGACUGUGUGGACAGAGGCUACAGGACAAGUUUUUUUUUUUUUUUUUUUUUUUUUGGUUCUUUUUUUCGGAGCUGGGGACCGAACCCAGGGCCUUGCGCUUCCUAGGUAAGCACUCUACCACUGAGCUAAAUCCCCAGCCCCCAGGACAAGUUUUAAUGUUCACCGUCCACCUUGUUUUGAGACAGGGUCUCCCUUUGGUCAGGACCUUGCACAACAAGCUAGCGUGGCUGACCACUGACCACUGGGAAUCCUCCUGUCUCUGCCUUCCCAGCUCUGGAAUUGCAAGCAAGUAUUACCAAUGGAGGCUUUUAUCCCCCUCCUAAAUCUAAGUCCUUCAAGCGCUUUACUGACUAUUUCCCCGGGCCUGGUUUACUUUUAUCUUUUCUCUCAUACCCUGUGGUAAAUUCCUUAACAGAUCCACGCCUUGAAAACAUUUUCUCCUUGGCUGAAGUGUGUGUGUUUUGUUUUUGUUUUUGUUUUCUUUUUUUCUUUUUUUCUUUUUUUUCGGAGCUGGGGACGGACGGACGGAACCCAGGGCCUUGCGCUUCCUAGGCAAGCGCUCUACCACUGAGCUAAAUCCCCAACCCCGAGGUGGUUUGUUUUUCUCUCACUUUUCUCGAUAACAGUUUCUGAUGCACACAGGGUAUUCCAUGAAGUUUUGUUUUAUUCUUACAGGAUUAUUCCUUUUUCUCUUAUGUGUAAGAGUGUUUGCCUGCCUGUAUGUGUGUGCACUGUGUAUACCUGCAGAGGCCAGAAGAGGGUGUCUGAUCCCUUGGAACUGGAAAUACGGGUGGUUUGAGUGGGUACUGGGUGCUGAAUCUGGGUCUCCUGAAAGAGCGGCCAGUGCUGUCCCUGGCAGCCAUAUCUCCAGGGCGCAGUUGUUCCUUUUGUUGUAUGUGUAUUUUGUCAUUUCCAGGAAAGCCUAAUUAAGUCACAGAUGUCCACUCCUGUGUAUAUACCCCCCCCGCCCGUUAGUUUUAUACUUUUAGAUCUUAAAUUUACAUCUGCGAUUAGUUUUUUUUUUUAAAUAUAUAAUAUGAGGUAAAGAUUUCACUUUGUUUUUUUACCUACAGCUGUCCCGUUGUCCCAACAACACUUGUGGACAAGUUGUCUCCCUCAGCCUAGAUUCUGUAUCUCUCAUAUGACUUGUGCUUAGUGGCGGGGAGUGUAUAUUUGUCUGCUCGUUUGUCACACACAGUGCCUCUUUUGUCCCAGGAUGGCCUCAACUCACUGUGUGGCCAAGGAUGACCCAACUCCUGAGUGCUGGGAUUCCAGGCAUGUACACUCAGGUCACAUGGUGCUGUGGCUAGAACCCCACAUGCUAGGCAAGCAGCCUACCAACUGAGCUACACCUCCAGCCCUUCUUCGUGGUUUUGUUUGUUUGUUUAAUAAUUUAUUUUAUUUUAUGUGCAUUCAUGCGAGGGUGUCGGAUCUUCUGGAACUGGAGUUACAGACAGUUGUAAGCUGCCACGUGGGUGCUGGGAAUUGAACCCUGGUCCUUUGGAAGAUCAGCGGGUGUUCUUAACAACUGAGCCAUCCUCUCUGGCCCCACCCCUCUUCUUUGUUUUUGAAGCCUCCCAAUGUAGUGCAGGCCUCAGUUGUCCAUCUUCCUCCCUCAACCUCCCAAGUGCUACUAUGUAGCGCCUCCACACCUAGCAGGGUCCGGACAUCAAAGAAUCUUAAAGGUUAAAAGCUACACUGGGCGCCCAGCAAUUGCUGUGCACUCAGGAGGCGGAGGCAGGUGGAUCUCUCCAAGUCUGGUCUAUAGAGUGAGUUCCAGGGCUACACGGAGAAACCCUGUCUCAAACAAACACCCAAAACAGCAGCAACAAAAACAAAAUAAAUAAAUACAUAAAUAAGCAAGCAGGCCUAGAGUAAGAAACCGAGAGACCUGUGUGUUUUACCAUGCUCAGUCUAUUUAGACUUUGUAAACGAUUAAUAGGAUGAUUUAGCUACGGUCAUGAAUGGUGCAGCUUUGAAGCCACAGUGGAAAGAUGACGUCAACUUCCAUUACUAGAAGGCUUGAGUCAAAGAAAGCCUGAAAAGUCACCGGCUGACUGAUUUUUUUUUCCCAGAGGUCUGAGCUUAUGAUCUGUGUCAAGAAACAGGCUAAUCUCCAACCUUGUUCCUUAUCUCAUCUGCACUUUCCUUCCCAUAUCCCAGCUCUAAUUAUAAGAGGUUCCACCUUACGGGUGUGUGUGGUGGGGGUCGGUAAGUCAGAGGAAAAAGAGAGCUGUGUUUAUUUAAAAGUCUAUCUUGUUUCCAGAGACAGUUAUAGGCGGCACAAAUGUCUUUACAUUGAAGCUGUAAAUGCUACACCACUAAAUUCCUGAGAUCUCUGUGGAGAAUAAAUCUUGAUUGGAAACACGAGCUUUGAGCAGCCUCGAAGGGGCCCCCAAAGGCAGACGCGUCAGAGGCAGCUCCUGGGUGGCCAUCAGUGAAACCACAGCCGGGAGGGGGAAAUGUUGGUCUUAUCAGCUCUUGACUCCAGGUUUGCCUCCGGUCUGUGAAGCCAUCCAUGUCUUCUGUCUCACAAGGUGAAGCGUUCCCUUAAGAGUUAGAGAUGUUGGUGGAUGUCUAGGCUAGCUAUACCGAAUGGUCUCCUGGGUUUCGUGGCUCAGAGAGCUUGCUGUGCAAACAUCAAGAUCAGAGUUCAAAUCCUCAGUGUCUAUAUAAGGAGCUGGCUUCUGGAACCCUAAGCUGUAGGUAGGGUUAAGGGGGAGAGGAAAGACAGGAAGCUUGCUGGCCACCAGCCUAGCUCCAUGGUCAGUGAGAGACCCUGUCUUGGAGAAUAAGGCAGAGUAGCGAAGCAGGACACUUGGACUCCUCUGGCCUUAGUGGCCAUCCCUGAAUGCAUGUGUGUACAGAUAGCAUACGUGUGCCCCCUCCCAGGAACUUAGAUCCAAAGGCUUUAAGUCUGAUAAGACUUUCCAGUGGUUUCUUUUUUUUUUUUUUUUUUCCUUCCUAUUCCACAUCAUGAGCUAAUUUCCCACUGCCUAGGAAGCUAAUGCUGGAUUUUUUUUUUUAAACUCUAUUAUGUGAUUACAUUGAACUCAAAGGCGGGAGACCAGGGCUAGGUUAAAUGGUAUUGUAAGGCUGAGUGACACAAAUGGUGUCCGGGAAAUGGCUCAGGUGGGAGGUACCAUGUGUGUUCUCUUUGUUCCCCAUUUCCAAAAGCACUGGGGCUUGGUCGCCAGGGGUAAUUUUCUGGACUCGUGCAAGUGAGGAGUAGGGUAGUAUCUUUUCCUGGGCUCUCAGAGCAAGGUUCCUUGAACCCUCCCAAUCUUGGGUAGCAUAGACUGGCCUUAAACAACUCAUGUUCCCUUCCCUACCUCCCAAGUUCUGGACUUAUACAAUCUCUGACUCCUCCUUUUGCCUGUUUAACAACUGGCAUGCCGUCAAGCAUUAAGACCCAUAUACAUUAUGUGUGUGUUUGUAUGUCUGUAUGUCCGUAUGUCUGUCUAUGUGGGCCUGCGGGAUGGCUCAGCAGGGAAAGGCACUUGCUGCCUGUCUUGGGGUUACUGGUGCUGUGAUAUAAACACCAUGACCCAAGCAGCUUGGGGAGGAAAGGGUUCAUUUGGUUUAAGAGCCCACAUCACUGUUCAUUAUUGAAAGAAGUCAGGACAGGAACUCAACCAGGGCAGGAACCUUGAGGGGCUGAUGCAGAGGCCAUGGGGCAGUGCUGCUUACUGUCUUGCUUCACUUGGCUUGCUCAGUCUGCCUGUCAGCCCAGUGAUGGCUCCGCCCACAGUGGGCGGGACCCUCCACCCAUCAAUCACUAAUUAAGAAAAUGUCCUACAGACUUGCCUACAGCCUAUGUUACAGAGGCGUUUUCCUAACUGAGGAUCCUCCUCUCAAAUAACUAUGGCUUGUGUCAAGAUGAUAUAAAAUUGACAAGCACACUGCCCGAGUCUGUUUGACCUGCUCACCUGACUCCUAGACAAAAUGCAGCCCCCAGAAUUGUAACUGGGAUGUUAUCUCAAGUUGUAUGAACCCACUAACUCACAGAGGGUGUGGGCUUCAAAUCCUGAUCUACGAGAACCUUCCCUAAGGUUCUAGACUUCUAGAAUAUUCCAAAUUAUGGCCCCUCCCUCUCUCUCUCUCUCUCUCUCUCUCUCGUAAAAACAAUCAAACAAGGGUCUCAUUGUGUACCCCUGGCAACUCAAAAUGUGGACCAGGUUGGCUUUGAACUCACAGCUCCUCCUGCCUCUGCCUCCCAAGUGCCAUCAUGGCCAGCUAAAUGCAGCUUUAUGGACUUAUAGAUCUGCUGAGGGACCUCAGAGAUCCCUCCUCUCUAAGACCAGAGUCCCUUCCCCUCGAUAAAUGUGAAGUAUUUCCUCUUGCAUUGGUUAUCAGAGCCACCUCCUCCCCUCUUAUCCCACCCCCCCAACAAGUGACCCCUGUCACUAAAGGAGAGAUAUCUUACCUGAGAUCUUAUCUCUGUUGGCCCUGAAAAAAGCCUUUAUUACCUAACACAUUUCUGUUUAAUCCCCUUUCUUACCUCGGGGAAGCGUUUUCCUCCCUCUGUGCCCAGAAGUUGAGCAAAGUCACAGCCUACAGAGCUGUUUUCCCCCUCAGUGCUUCAUGCCUCAGUCCCCUCCACUGUUUCAGUUUUCUGAAAAUCUCUUCCUCAUUCUUGGGAGAUAACGACUCAGGUCACACAACUCUAAAUGGACAGUUUACCGGUAGUGCGUGGAAGGUGUCUUUCUUCUGUCUCCGGGUUUUGUGGCUGACAGCCACGUUGGUGAUUAGUUGCAAACCAGAAUUUCUUUCUGGUUUAAUGCCUUCGCUUUUCUUUUUUUCUUUUUCUUUUCCUUCGUCUUUGCAAACAACAGCAGCCUCGCUACAAUGUGUCAAACGGGAUUGUUUAUUUACUCUUUGAUUUGGAGUAUUGUUCUGUCUAUUGAAAAGACUCAGGCCCUGUUUCUCUUGAGUGUUUCUUUUUGGUCUGAGGUGUUUGUCUGACAGGGUGUCUUGGCAAGUCCAAGCUGACCUGGAGCUAAGUGUGUUGCCAAUGGUGAUGUUUUUUUUUCUUUUUUUCGGAGCUGGGGACUGAACCCAGGGCCUUGCGAUUGCUAGGCAAGUGCUCUACCACUGAGCUAAAUCCCCAACCCCUCCAAUGGUGAUUUUGAACUCCUGACUUUCCUGUCUCAGCCUCUUAACUGCUGGGAUUGCAGGUAUGUGUUGCCGAGCCCAGUUCUAGACAGGUUCUCUGGGCACACUGGGCAUGAUUUCGUUCCUGUUUACCUCAUCUCCUCCUGAAGCCAGCUACUUACCAGGUCCAUGUCAUCAUCUGACCCCCCACACACACCCACACCCCACACACACACACCUACCCCUCCACCCUCCCCCUUCCUUCUUCCUUCUUAAAUUUCAAAGCCCUUUAUGGAGAUCAGAUAAUUUUACCUAAGUGGUACAGGGACUGUUUUACUCAGGGUUUGUAUUCCUGCACAGACAUCAUGACCAAGAAGCAAGCUGAGGAGGAAAGGGUUUAUUCAGCUCACACUUCCACUUUGCUGUUCAUCACCAAAGGAAGCCAGAACUGGAACUCAAGCAGGUCAGGAAGCAGGAGCUGAGGCAGAGGCCAUGGAGGGAUGUUACUUACUGGCUCGCUUCCCCUGGCUUGCUCAGCUUGCUCUCUUAUAGAACCCAGACCACCAGCCCAGGGAUGGCACCACCCACAAUGGGCUGGGUCCUCCCCCCUUGAUCAGUAGUUGAGAAAAUGCCUUACAGCUGGGUCUCGUGGAGACAUUUUCUCAACGAAGGCUCCUUUCUCCUUUCCAGCUUGUGUUAAGUUGACACACGAAACCAACCAGUACAGAGACCUUGCUGUCUCAAUCUCAGCCACAUCCCCAAGCCUCCUGCACGCCUCUGUUAGUUCCAAUGACCCUGUGCUUUCUUUGUUGCCUUCUGCCUUCUCACAGCUCUUGCCCAGUUUUAAUACAUUCGAGUUUUAUAUUUGUGUGUGUGUGUGUGUGUGUGUGUGUGUGUGUGUGUGCGCGCGCGCGCGCGCCACACAUAUUUGGGUGCCCAUGGAGGCCAGAAGACUGUCAAAUCUUUGAAGCUGAAGUUGCGGGCAGUUGCGAACUGUCUGAUGUGGGUGCCGGGAACUGCUCUUGCCCUAGAAGAGCCGAAAAAUGCUGUAAAUGGCGGAGCCACCUCCCCAUUCCUUCAGGUCAGUUUCUGGUACCUGAUACACCUCACCAUUCCCACACAGUGAGCUCUGGAGGUCGAGUCUCCCAUGUCCUCUCUCUCUCCCUCUCAUUUGUAGGAGCUGCUGGUCUGGGUGAACUCAUUUAGGGCAGCUCCCGGGAAGAACUUCCUUAAGGAACUGCAGUACUCACUGAAUAGGUAGCUAGCAUUUCCAUGGUGCCCGCUUUCCAGCCCUGUGGUUAAGAGAGAAUUGUUUAAUCUUGAAAAGAAAGCAAGGGUGUGCUGGAGAAGUAGCCGAGUUGGCAAGAGUGCUUCCCAAGCCUGUGCAGAGCACCCAUUCCUUAGACUAGCAGAGGCAGAGGGCCUCAAAGUUCAAGGUCAUCCUUUGCUACAUAAAAACAUUCCUUCAGAAUAAUAAUAAUAAUAUAAUAACAAUAUUGCGAGCUGGGGGAGGAGGUAGAAAGGCGCAGAAUUCACUCUGCUGACAAUUCUGGUAGCUGCCUUUUGAGGGUGAUCAGAAUGGGCAGAUAGAUACUGUGUCCUCUGUCCCAAGCACAGGACUCUGCUUCCCUUGAGUUCAUUGCCACUGUGUAAAAAACCAGCUAUCAAAAGGUUUAGAUUUCCCUUGGAAAACUGAACAGACGCACAAUGCUGAGCCUGUAGUGAUAAUCUUAGACACAGGAGGGACGUGCCCUCUGCACUUUUAACAGAUAGUUGGGCAAGCAUCGUGUGUCGAAACAGAGGCCGGGUAAGUGGCCUAGAACAGGCCGAAACCUGUUUUUCUCUUUUGACAGUCAAAUCGCUGUGGCAGAUGGAUGGCCACUAUGUCAGACCCAGGGCUUCGUGGGUGCCACCAGCGACAGCUUGACUUUUCCUCUCUUCCCUCUGUAGGCACCCCAGCUGGCACAGCACUUUGCACCUAGCACACUAGUGAUCAGUACCGUGUGCUGAGUACUUGCUGGAAGGCACAAACUUCCUGACACCGUCGCCGACAUUCUUUUUAACUCUCCACCGUGAGGUAGUUAAGGACGGUGGAAAUUUGGCUACACUGGCUUAAAUAAGAUCAAAAAGGAGGCUGAGUUGCCUCAAAAGUUACUCGAGGCUGUGUUCAUUGUGGCGGGGGUUCAGCAUGAGGUGCGGAGUUUAUCUAGGAAGGCUGGAUCUCUUUUUUUUUUUUUUUUUUUUUUUGUGGUUCUUUUUUUCCGGAGCUGGGGACCGAACCCAGGGCCUUGCGCUUCCUAGGUAAGCGCUCUACCACUGAGCUAAAUCCCCAGCCCCGAAGGCUGGAUCUCUUUAGAAAGUUACCUUUGUGGUGCAGAUGCCAUCUCAAUACCUGUAUAGUUAGAACUUGAGGGUUUGUUUGUUUGUGACAGAGACUCACUGUCUAUCACUGACUGGAACUAACUCUGUGAUCUAGACUGACCUCAAACUUACAACAGACUGCCUCUACCUCCCCAGUGCUGGGAAUAAAGGCACACCCCAUCACACCUGGCAGAUGAGUUUAUUUUUUCUUGGUGCUAACCAAGCACAGAAGGAAGUCCUGACCAACCUGGUUUGGUCACGUGGCUGUUUCUUCUGUUGGAGGUGGAAGACUCCCUACACCUGGGUCAUCUGUUCAUGGUUGUGUGGUAAACUAUGUUCUCUGGAGAGAAGGAGAAACACACAAAGACCUGUGGCAAAUCCUGGAGACAGGCUCCUCCGGUCUCACAGAGACCACUGUGAGACUUAAAGAAAAGAGCUUGUGAACUUGGUGACAACCAGAAGAAGCAAGAGGGGUCUAAAUCCCUGCUUUAUGACCCCCAGGUGGAGUCAAGUCUUGACUCAGUGGCUUCAGCUGUUUCUGGGGGGAGGGGUUCAUCAUCCUGCCACCCCGACCUUUGUAAGGGGAAAGCCCUUGCUCCUGCAUUUACCAGUCAGAUUCUAGCGAUUUCCUGCAACCUUGUCAUAGCAAGACCCUGAGUUCCAGUUUGACUCUAAGCUCUGUUUUCCCUGGAACUAUUCUGGUGGCCACCCUUGAAAAUAGUGCCCUUAGGGGCUGGAGAGAUGGGUCAGCUGCUAAGAGCACAUGUUGCCCCAGGUUACAUCCUAGAACCCACAUGGCGCCUCACAACCAUCUGUAACUCCAGUUCCAGAGGAUCAAAUGCCCUCUUCUGGCCUUCAAGGGCACUAGGCACACAAGUAGUGCACACAUAUAUUGUGCAGGCAAAAAAUACCUAUACGCCUUAACUCUGUGUGCAUGCAUGCAUGUGUGCAUGUGUGCAUGUAUGCACAUGCUCGAAUGUGAGUGUGUUCCCUCUAAACUGGCUAGGUAUGGUAUUGAAUAGCGUCUCAUAACAGAGGGGAGAGAGGCGAGAGGGGCUGACAUAGAAAUCUAGAAUGGUCAGAUGAAACCAAAAGAUGAAAUGUUUUUCUCUCUGUCUCCAUCCCUCUUCUCCUCCUUUCUCCCCUGCCCCCCCUCUUUCACACACACACACACACACACACACACACACACACACACACACACUCUCAAACACACCAGUUUGAGAAUCAAGGUAUCAGGGAGAGUGAACUGCAUAACAAAUACAUACAUAUAUCAUACAUACAACAUACAUACACACACACAUAACAGUAGGGAACUGUGUGCCCCUCUGGAUUUUUAACUGUUUCCUUUUGCUAUCUCUACUCAUUGGUUUGUUUGAGAUAGGCUCUUCCUGUGUAGCCCAGGCUGCCCUCUAUCUUGGAAACUUCUUGCCUCACCAGGAAAUUGGGACCACAAGUGCACACACCGUCUGUGACUCUUACCCGUUCCUGGCCAGGAAGUAUCGUUAGCUUGAGGUGGCUUCCGUGUCUCUUCUUUGUGAAACCUCGCUUACAAAGCGCAGCCCCAGCGUGUAGAACAUUGUGUUUACAUGUCUCCAUUCUACAGGACCUGGAGUGUUAUCAUUUGUGUGGGCAGAGACCAGAAGAUGACCGGUGUGUGGGCUCUUCUUCUGCACCGUUGGCUCACUUCUGCACCGUGGCUUGAAAAACAGCUAUCACGGUGUGAGUCGGUUACUUACGAAAAAUUGUAAAAAGUCAACGUGUAAACAUUUUAAAUCUCUCAAAUUAAAAACGAGUCAGGCAUGGUGGCAAACACACACACCUUUAAUCCCAACAUGUGAGAGGCAGAGGCAGGAAAAUCAGGAACCCAAGGUCCUCUUCAGGUCCUGUCCAGUUUGAAACCAGCCAGUGCUACCCAGUGAGACCUUGUGUCAAAAAUGAACAGAUGAACACAAUCCCGUUUGACAACAACGAAGACAGAUGGCAGCUUGAUGUGCCCUAAGGGCCACCAGUGGUUCAUUGCAGCGGGCUGCACCGUUUGGCACAAGUUUGUUCUCCACACUACUGGUCACAGGUGCACUCCGGAAGCCAGGCACUCUGGUCCCCCUUGGUCCUCAGGUUUCUUUUGCGUACUUUCAGUUACAUGCAGUCAACCAUGGUCAGCGUAGUUCGGGACGUUCUGAGAGGUAUUUGAAUAUCUUUUCUUAGAGUCUACCACUCUAGGUGUUUGGUUUUAUUACCGGUUAGUGCAAUGAUUUGAAUGUCAAAUCUUCCUCCCUAGGCUCAAGUGUUUAAGCACAUGGUCCCCAGUUGUGGGCAGUGUUUUGGGAGGUCGUGGACUCUUGCAGAGGUGAGUCUUAGCUGGCUAAAGUAGGUCAGUGGUGUGAGGUGGGCUUGAAGGAUAGCCUGGCCUACUUCCGUUUAGUUUUAUGCUUCUUACCCACCCAGUGAUGUGCCAAGAUGCUGCCCCUCGCACCCAGGCCAAAACUGCAGCCACAGACUCAACUCUAUCAUAAAACUGUGAGCUGUGGUAACUCCUCCCCAUGAGUUGGUCUUGUCAGGCCUCUGGCCACAGAGACUUUCAUAACUAACAUCGUUACUGUUAAUCUCUAACUGACACAAUCUGUGAAUUACGUCCCUUGUUGAUCCAUGGUUCUAGUAGAUUACUAUGGGGCAGGAACAUAUCAUGAAUAAGGAAGACUGUUGAUCCCAGGUAGACACUGUCAGUUCUACCACACAUGGAUGGGCACACUGGCUUUCUCACUGGGCUGGGAAGAAGCCACCCCUGAGGGCUAAGUAAACCAUGUGGGAUUUUUCUUUUAAGGCCAAUUUUUAAUAUUAUAAUUUUUAUCAGUGUGUGUGUGUGUGUGUGUGUGUGUGUGUGUGUGUGUGUGUGUAUGUGUGUAGGAGAGAGUCAGGGGACAACUUAGGAUCUCAGGGAUCAUCCCUCAGGUAUCUUUACCUACUGAGUUUGCCCCCACCCCCACCUCCAUGCCUGGAUUUACUGUACAAAGCCUUGCGGCUCAGGCAUUGUGUCUGGUGGAGACUGUCGCUGUUGAGCCUAUCAGCAACUUGAUUGAUUUGAUUGGAUGGAGAAGCUCCUGGGGGACAGAGUGUUUGGGAGGGUGUUUCCAGAGAGGAUUAGCUAAGGAGGAGGGCCUACCUAGAGUGUACACAGCAGCAGCCAGGGCUCAGGUCCAGCUGGAGCAAAGGACAGGAGGGAGCUGACAAGCUUGUGCACUCUCUUGGCUUCCAGGCUCCUGUGUUACAUGCCUGCUCCUCACACUCUCCAUCAUGGCUGAGGGAAACUUUGGAAGGCUGAGCCUAGCAAACCUUCCUUCUUUUACAUUGUUUCCCUUUUCACCACAGGAAUGCCUGACUAACAUAAGGCUUAACAAAAUAGUCUCAGCCCUGGAGUCCUUGCUGUAGAAGGUUCCCCAGAUAAAACCUGUGGAAUGCAGAGACCAGGUAGAAUCAAGCUCUAGAGCUAUGAGUCUGGCAGGACUCUUGGCCCUGGAAAUGCCUAGCUUCCAACUAGAAGUGGAGUAUUAUGCAGCAGGGACACAUUACUAAUGCCCUCUGCUUUGUUGUGUGGUAGCAGGUACGGGCUACAUUCCCUAAGUCAUUAGUACCAACCCUCACACCUUAGGAGGUUGCUUUGAGGCGCAAGAUAAAACUAGGUAUAAAAUUUGUAUGAGCAUGUCGAUAUGCACGUGUGUGUACAUGAACACUAAUUCAGCCUAUGGUUAAAUUAAAACAUCGGGAUCCUGGAAAUAAGAAACUGGUAGAAUACACAUAUUAUCUCAGUGUCAACAAGAUGAAUAGAACUGAAAUAAAUCAAAAUGCAUACUGCUUUCCACUUCCCCAACCUUAUGGACAGGAGCAGUCAAAGCCACAGUAAAGAGAUGACUCAGGUAAGAGCAUGCACUGCUCUUGCAGAGGAUCCAGGUUUGGUUCCGAGCACCCAUGUGGGGUAGCUCACAAUUACCAGGAACUACAGUUCCAUGGGCAGCGAGACCCACAGGCAUCUGCAUGAACACACACAUACAACUAAAAAUAACAAAAAUAAAUAUUUUUUUUUUAAAAAAUUGCAGGAGGGGCUGGGGAUUUAGCUCAGUGGUAGAGCGCUUACCUAGGAAGCACAAGGCCCUGGGUUCGGUCCCCAGCUCCGAAAAAAAAAGAACCAAAAAAAAAAAAAAAAAAAAAACCAAAAAAAAAAAUUGCAGGAGAGAUGUUGGUACCAGCUCUGGUUGUUUGUGGAGAAGAUGUGGAGACCGUAUGGAAUGCUGGGGAGAUGGUUCCGCUGGUAAAGUGCUUCCCGUGAAAGCACGGAGACCUGAGCCCAGUACCCCCAGAAUUCACCUAAACAAGCGUAGCGCAGUAUCGCAUGUCUGUGGUCCCACCAGUGAGGAGAGGGAAGGAAGGUACACAGGGGUCCCUAGACAGCCAGUGUGACUAAAUCAGGAUGCUUCACAUUCAGUGAGAGACCUUGUCUCAAAUACAUAAGGUAGAAACAUACUUAAACUGACACCUGCCAUUGGCCCUGGCUUCCACACACACAUGCACGCAACAGCGCCUGCACACACAUACACACACACACAACUUGCCUGGAGACUCCUGGUAAGAUUAUAGAUGUGACCACUGGGAACCCGAGAAUCAUGGUUUCCCAGCUGACCCCUAUCCAAAGUGGGAUUUUAUGCUUAACAUUUGACAUACAAUGAAUUCAUUCACAAUGAUUCAUCUACGGCUUUAAAAGAAAUAAUAAAAUCUUAGUUCAUGUGAUAUAUACUAUUUUCUUGGCGUAUUUUAUUGUGGGCCAUAAAACAAAGGUUCCAGAAGAUUGAAUCACUUGACAGAUGGCACAUAGCUAGACUGGAGUCUAACCCCAGGUCAUCUGAGUGUGCAUUCCAUGGUCCCCGUGUCCAGGACUCUGCAAACACGUGACCAGUGCUUGCUCCUGAGCUUACAACAGAAUGAAGGAACUGACAUUCAUUCAUGAGGGGAACUAAAUGCAAACGCAGCCGGCAUUUCUUAGGACACCUUAGAUACCAGUGGUUUAUCAAAUUUGAAUCAAAUACUGAAAUACAAAUUGGCCCUGGUUCGGGAUGUCUGGUCAUUUUCAGGAUGAAGAAAGCAAGAUUCCGAGGCUCAGUGGUGAUCGGAAGGUUAAGCCAGGAAUGAGAAAGGCUUUAAAGUCUCUUACAGCAGCAAUCAUGAGAUCACCCAGGGAGCAUACAUGACUGCAGGAGCAUCGGUGAAUGAGCCAGAGGCUGCAGCCUCCAUAUUCUAACCAGGGACCGCCUGGCGUGACCAUGAGAAACCAUGGCCCCAGGCAGUAGUUCUGUUUUUCAUUAUUCAGAGAAACACUAAAUCUAAAGUUUGAACUCACAAAUGUACUAAAACAUCUUAACCUAUUAAAAUUUUCUUAGAAGACUAUGUGUGCUCAACGCUGCGUGUACCAUUGGACCCCAAGGUUGAGGAUGAGUUCCCUCUUCUACUUGAGAGCCGUGAAGGAAAACCGACAGAUUUCCCCCAGAUGAGCAGCGAGUGGGAGGUUUCAGAGAGCCACAGGAUUGAAAACACCCUCCUGAAAAGAGAUUUAAGCUAAACCGUACGUAGAGGGACUAAAAAGCAUCUCGGCACUGUCAGGAGGCUGUCCUGCGGGUCCCAACCACCUGUACCCUCUUGAGCCAAGAUGCCCUCUUGGCUUCCACAGGGUCUUAGUUACUUUCUAGUGUGAAAAGACACUAAUGUACGGAAGAAAACAUUUCUUGGAGCUCUAGGAGUUAGAGUCUGUGGCCAUCAUGGCCAUCAUGGCAGGGAGCGGGUCAGCAGGCAGUCAGGCAUGGUGCUGGAGCAGUAGAUGAGAGCUUACAUCUGACCACAUCAGGAAGCAGAGAGAGGAGACACUGGGAGUGGCUUUGGCACUUGAAACCCCAAAGCCCGCCCCUAGUGACACAUUUCCUCCAAUAAGGCCACACCUCCCAAUCCUUCCAAAGCAGUUCCACCAACUGCAGACCAAGCAUGCUCAUAUAUAAGCCUAUGGGGACCAUUCUUACAAGCUACCACACAUGGCCACUGGCACAAAUAAACACCCACCCGUUAAAAAAAUAAAUCAUGAGCCAGUUCCAUUUCUGUACAUAAGUAAUAAGCAAUUUCAAAAUAUAAAUUUAGAAAUCUACAGUAUCCAUGACGUUUAUGAAACAAGACUGUGAAACGUCAUUGAAAUACAACAUUCUAAAUGAGGAGGAGGAUGAAUGCUGGGCCCGGAUGGAGAUUGCUGAUAAGUCAGUUCCAAUUCUGCAAAAUGGCUCAGUAUGUCACAGUGCUUGCCGACAAGUCUGAUGAUCUGAGUUCUAUCCCCAAAACUAUGACGUGGAAAGACGGGACAGAACCUUAGCUAGUCGCCCUCUGGACCUCCAUAGGAGUAAUGUCACACCCCAUCCAACUAACUAUCUAGCUAACUAACUAACCAACUAACCAACUAACCAAAACUAUGCAAGAACAGAUGUCUAUUCUCUGUCAGGGAAAACCACUCAAAAUAAUUACAGUCCAGCUGGAUGGUGGUGGCACGCACCUUUAAUCACUCAGAAAACAAAACAUGAUGCAUGUGUGUGUGUGUGUGUGUGUGUGUGUGUGUGUGUGUGUGUGUGUGUGUAGGAUAGGUUGCUUUUGGUAGGUUAAAUGUGAAGACCACAAUGGAUGACUUCAGUGCUGGAAGGCAAGCAUUCAGAACCAACACACCUUGCUGGUGUUUCCCACUCAAUGGUCCACGCUUGCUUUUCCAGAGAUUAACAACAAAUUUCUUAUAUUAGUUUAAUGCAGUAAGCAAAUUCUGGAAGUCUGAAUUUGCCUGCAGCCUGCCAUUUUUUUUCAGAGCAGACACCUGUGUUUGUAGUCACCUUGGUGGUGAAUUGUAGUGCUUUGUCACGGGCUCGUGACAUUGGGACAAAGACUGAUUAUCUAAGAACCCAGCUAGGCCACAGGUAGGUCAAUGCCACAGACCAGAAAGGCCUGGCCGCAGCUGUGCUAGCAGUGGGAGAAUGGCAUGAGCCGGGUCACUGUUCCAGGAGUUGUCAGAUGACAUGGGUAUUGUUUGGAUAAACCUAAAAGAAUCUGCCUGGCUGUUGUCAGCACCAUCUUUGAGCUGUAAAUAACGGUUUUGAGGGCUGGAGAGAUGGCUCAGCGGUUAAGAGCACUGACUGCUCUUCCAGAGGUCCUGAGUUCAAUUCCCAGCAACCACAUGGUGGCUCACGACCAUCUGUAAUGAGAUCUGGUGCCCUCUUCUGGCCUGUAGUCACAUAUGCAGGCAGAAUGCUGUACAUAAAAUAGAUAAAUAAAUCUUUAAAAAAAAUAAUAACGGUUUUGAGUCAUAAAAAUAAGUAAAGUUGUUGAUUUGUAUUUCAUUGGUUUAUGGUUGAGUGUUUAGUUUGGAAUUUUGAUGAGAUUUUUUUUUCUUUCACAAGCAAUGUCCACUUAGCUGUAUGUAUGUGUGUGUUUGUGUGUGUGUGUGUGUGUGUGUUUGAGUGAGUGUGUGUGUGUGUGUCUGUGUGAGUGUGUAUGUUUGAAUGUAUGUGUGUUUGAAUGCCUGUGUGUGCCUGUGUGUUACUAUAUUUGUAUUUGUGAUUGUGUGUUCGUGUGUGUGAUUGUGUAUUUGUGUGUGUGAGCAUGUGUUUGUGUGUGUUUAAAUGUCUGUGCCUGUGAGUGUGUGUGUGUGAGUAUGCAUGUGUGUGAGUGUGUGUGUGUGUGUGUGUGUGUGUGUGUGUGUGUGUGUUCAGAGGUUGACACAGGGACAUCUUCGUUGCUUUUCUGCCUUUCCCCAGGAUUUCUGGUCUGACAGUUUCAUACAUUUAGUGAGUGGAGUUUGGUCAUUUUUCACCCCCCUUUUCUUCCCUCUCACCCUCCUUCUCCCACUGUCACCCCUCUUCUCAGCUUUAUUUUUAUCUUCCUUUUGUGCAUGGCCAACUGACUUACCUCAUUUCUUGAGCUAGGGUCUCUUUGCUGAACAGGGAGUUUGCCAUUUUGUUUCAGGGGGCUGGUCAGGGAGUUCCAUUGCCAGCCAUGGUCCACCUGUCUCUGCACCCUGAUGCUGGGGUGCAGGCGCCUGAUGCUGUACCCAACUUUUUUUUUUUGGUUCUUUUUCGGAGCUGGGGACCGAACCCAGGACCUUGCGCUUCCUAGGUAAGCGCUCUACCACUGAGCUAAAUCCUCAGCCCCUGUACCCAACGUUUUUAUGUAGGUGCCAGUGAUCCAACCCAGGUUCCUGUGCUCAUAGAACAAGCACUUUGCCCACUGGGCCACUUUCCUGGUCCCCUACUUUUAGCCUAUAACUCCCGAUGCUCCAAAACUCAGCCCUACUGUGGGUUGCUUUACGAAUUGUUUUGAAUCAAAUGUGGUGUCAUAUGCCUUCAACCCCAAUACUCCAGAGACAGAGGCAGGGGAGUAUCUGAAUCUGAGGCCAGCCUUGUCUAUAUAUCAAGUUCCAGGUCAGCCAGGACUACAUUGAGAGAACCUAAUUUUAAAAAAUGCAAAAGAGUUGUUUUGACUUUAACUAGUCCCAUGAGGUAAUCGUGAUUGAGCAGUAAUGAAACUGGCUGUCAAGGUUUGUGCUUGAUUCUAGCUCUUGGUACAUGUCCAUAUGUGUGCAGAUCAGAGAAGGGAGCUGAGAAACAUGGGCUCCUGAAGUUUACUAGAGACCCUUGCCUAUUUUCCACAUUACCACUGUGGUGUGUGUGUGUGUGUGUGUGUGUGUGUGUGUGUGUGUGUGUGUGUGUGUGUGU